UGAAAUUAUUGCUUGGUAGCUUCUUCUGUCAAACAUACUUCCUUAACAUGGGUUGCUGUCAGAAAUUCAAUAUUUGCUCUAUGGUUGCAAAUCUUGCAAUUCAUGUGUCCCAAGUUGAAAAUUCUGAAUAAAAUCAUAUGUUCAUUCACUUCUGUCAGCACCAAGUCCAUGAGAGCCAACGGUGGAAUCGAUGUUAUCAUUAAGGCCAUUGAGAAGCUGCGCCUGCGUUACAAGGAGCACAUUUCUGCAUAUGGGGAGGGCAAAGAGAGAAGCUUAACAAGGCGCCAUGAAACCGCCGACAUCAACACGUUCUCAUGGGUUGCAAUCGAAUGUACGGUGGAGAGUUGUAAUGAACCUGCCUGGGUUCUUUCCGACUAACCAAAGAAGUCAAAUAAUUAACGCCUAAUAGAACACCUACAUGAGAAAUUUCUAAGCACCAUCUUUGGCAAUUUCCUUAAAAAUUUUCCCACCCUUUAUAUAGAUGUGAAAAGUCAACAUUAGCUCUCAAAUAGUUGAGACGGUUGGAUUCGCUUCUUUCAAAGUGGGGAUUAUGUUCUUCUAGCAAACAUGUUCGCAAGUGCUAGCCAAUGGAACAAAGUGACAAGAGUGAGAGAGGCAAUGAGAAAUAGAGGAGUUCAGAAACCAAAGCUAGGUAACAGCCUCAUCGAGCUACAUCCAACAAUUUAGCUUGAAUCAGAAUUUUCAAGGACUGUUGUGGAUGCAUUUCUUUCUUGUGUAGCAGAUUUUC